CCUACGGGUGGCAGCAGUGGGGAAUAUUGCACAAUGGGGGAAACCCUGAUGCAGCGACGCCGCGUGAGUGAAGAAGUAUUUCGGUACGUAAAGCACUAUCAGCAGGGAAGAAAAUGACGGUACAUGACUAAGAAGCCCCGGCUAACUACGUGCCAACAGCCGCGGUAAAACGUAGGGGGAGAACGUUAGCCGGAUUUACUGGGUGUAAAGGGAGAGUAGACGGCAGCGCAAGUCUGGAGUGAAAUCCCAUGGCUUAACCAGGGAACUGCGUUGGAAACUGGGCAGCUUGAGUGCAGGAGAGGUAAGUGGAAUUCCUAGGGUAGCGGUGAAAUGCGUAGAGAUUAGGAGGAACACCAGUGGCGAAGGCGGCUUACUGGACUGUAACUGACGUUGAGGCUCGAAAGCGUGGGGAGCAAACAGGAUUAGAUACCCGUGUAGUC
rnacentral:rRNA from 1 species